ensembl:lncRNA
CUCCCUGACCACACUCCCAAGGCUCCUUCUAAAGUGAUGGUUUUUUAAUGGGCCUGAGAGAAGCGUACAAUCCCAUCAAGACAAAUGAAUCAAAUUUGGAAACAAAGCUCCAUGGCUGGGUCACUUCCUCUGACUUGGUGAAUGGGAUGAGGUAUAAUGACAGUAGGAAUACUGGUGUGGGUAGCCAUGUCUUUCUCUGGGGGAUUUUCCCGAAUCAGGGAUUGAACCCAAGUCCAGCUUCUGCUCAAGCAUCCAGAUCCUGUCAUCUGCCUCUAAUGGACUAGAGAGGAACCCAGAGAGAAGGGAGUAUGUGAAGGCGCUCUUGUAGCCUGGAGGAAGGCAGGAGGGGGACCUGCCUGAGUCUGGACUUUGAUAUCAGCCUGAGAGAAAUCUCAGCUCAUCCCCCAAUAUCAGGAAAAGGACAUAAAUUAAAAUUCACAAAGGGAAGGAUGUAUGAGGCAAUGUCCAGGAGAAACCAGAUACAAGCUUCUAGGCUCUCAGUGGAGUUGCAUAUUAACACAAUUAAUUCUCCCAGCAAUUAUACAUGACCAUACACGUGACAUAUUCUCAACAGGGAGGCUUACUGCUGCAUGGUAUUGGACUUUUUAUUUGGGGGUUGUUUACCUGGUGGCUCAGACAAUAAAGAAGCUGUGGCAAUGCAGAACACCCAGGUUCAAUUCCUGGGUCAGGACAAUCCCUCAAGAAGCGAAUGGCAACCCAAUCCUGUAUUCUUGCCUGGAGAAUUCCAUUGACAAAGGAACCUGGCAUUUAUAUUCCGUGAUGUUGCAAAGAGUCGGAACCAACUGAGUGACUAACACUUUCACUUUUCUUUCACAUAAGCAUGCAGUGCUUACAAGACUGACAUUGGCUACUCAGUCUCCAAUCCCAGGAGAGACAAAACUGAUACAGCACAGCCCAAGGCUGGAAACAAACAAAGCAGUCUCAUCAGGUCACGCAUUCCAAGGGCUCAAAGAUUAUUUCCCAGAAGAUGGUCAAGGGCCAAUCCUGAACCUUGGCCAAUCAAGGGCCAAGGCCUUACUUUGAAUGUGCAGGCUUUGAGCAAAGCAUACCUGCUAAACCUUUACUGCAUACUCAGUAUUCCCAUUUUGAUUCAGCUUUCACCUGAUCUCUGGUCUCUGCUGUACCUCCAUGUGCUGUUUCUCUCCUGACUUCCUAGACUUGGGGUUGGCAUUUAGAUCACCUCACCAGAAUCACUGGAUUGAUUCUUGAGAUCCAGUGUAUGAUAACUUCCUAUUCAGAGAUACUGCCUUAAGAUUGAUACACAUUUAUUUAUUCAUUCAGUCACCACUAACUGAGCAUGUAGGAUGUACCAAGAAUUGUAAGCACAUUGGUUACAACAGUCAAUGUAAUAAACCCCAGUUCUGCCCUAACAAACGGUAUGAUCUGGUAGAGCAGGGCAAGUGAAUAAGAAAAUAUAAUAACUGAUACUUCACUAGAUCGAAUACUGCCCCCUAAUACUUGUGUCUAUCCAGAACCUCAAAAAUGGUAACUCUAUUUGGAAAUAGUCUUGAAAGUGUAAUUGAGUUGAGAUGUGUUCUUACAGGAUUAGAGUGAGCCCUAAUCCAGGGUCUCGUGUUCUUAUUAAGGAAAAGAAAUUGUGGGCACAGAUACACAGAGGAGGACAGUGUGGAGACACACAGGGGAGAACUCCCUGUGAUCAGGCGGGCAGAUGUCAGAGUGAAGUGUCUACAAGGCAAGGGAAGCUAAGAACUGACAUUGACUGCCAGAAGCUGGAAGGGAGAGGGAGAAUCCUGUCCUCACCCAGAGUCUUCAGAAAGGGAGUGAUCCCACUCACAUCUCAAUUUUGGACUUCCAGACUCCAAAGCGGAAUAAAAUACAUAAUAAAUUUCUAGGAAGUCACUAAGUUUGCGAUAGCAUGCUCUGGUAGCCCACAGGAAUAAAUACAGAUAGCACUGAAUUAAAAGAGAAACAGAGCAUUGAGACACCAGAGGAGGAAUGCCUACAAUCCAACUCUGGAGGCCAGAAAUAAACUCCAGAGGUAGUGAGAACUUCCAGGAGUUUUAUGCUAUGGAGGCUGUAAAAAAAAGUGUACAGGGAGAGAAUUCUUGACAUAGGGAAGAGUCUAUGCAAUGGCAUGGAGGUAAAAGAUAACAUGACCCACUAAAGAGUCUGAAAGAAAAUAAAGAGAAUCAUAUCCUGGAGUGUGAGACAAAGUUGGGAAGAUUGGAGCCUUCUUCUUCUGAGUGUGAGCACAGUCCCUUAGGUUGUAUAGAUAUGAUGCACCUGCAUAGCUAGUCACCUGUUGGGCCUCAGAAAUCAGUAAUAAAUCUUCUGACAGAUUUGGUAUCAUCUCUGGUUCAUACUUUACCUCCCCCCAGGUCAGGGGAUAACAUGACCAGUAAGGAAGGGUUGCAAACUCAGCCUGUUCUAUAAGAAUACAAUGAAUUUAGUACCUGUUUACAAUGUUGGUGCUUUACUUGAAAUCAAAUCCUGCCAUGGCUAUUAUCGACUUCCU